CCUACGGGAGGCAGCAGUGAGGAAUAUUGGUCAAUGGCCGCAGGGCUGAACCAGCCAAGUCGCGUGAGGGAUGACGGUCCUAUGGAUUGUAAACCUCUUUUGUCAGGGAGCAAAGGGCGCCACGUGUGGCGCUUUGCGAGUACCUGAAGAAAAAGCAUCGGCUAACUCCGUGCCAGCAGCCGCGGUAAUACGGAGGAUGCGAGCGUUAUCCGGAUUUAUUGGGUGUAAAGGGUGCGCAGGCGGAAUGUCAAGUCAGCGGUAAAAUUUCGGGGCUCAACCCCGUCGUGCCGUUGAAACUGGCGUUCUUGAGUGAGCGAGAAGUAGGCGGAAUGCGUGGUGUAGCGGUGAAAUGCAUAGAUAUCACGCAGAACUCCGAUUGCGAAGGCAGCAUACCGGCGCUCAACUGACGCUCAUGCACGAAAGCGUGGGUAUCGAACAGGAUUAGAUACCCGAGUAGUC
rnacentral:rRNA from 1 species